AAAUUGAAGAGUUUGAUCAUGGCUCAGAUUGAACGCUGGCGGCAGGCCUAACACAUGCAAGUCGAACGGUAACAGGAAGCAGCUUGCUGCUUUGCUGAUGAGUGGCGGACGGGUGAGUAAUGUCUGGGAAACUGCCUGAUGGAGGGGGAUAACUACUGGAAACGGUGGCUAAUACCGCAUAACGUCGCAAGACCAAAGAGGGGGACCUUCGGGCCUCUUGCCAUCAGAUGUGCCCAGAUGGGAUUAGCUUGUUGGUGAGGUAACGGCUCACCAAGGCGACGAUCCCUAGCUGGUCUGAGAGGAUGACCAGCCACACUGGAACUGAGACACGGUCCAGACUCCUACGGGAGGCAGCAGUGGGGAAUAUUGCACAAUGGGCGCAAGCCUGAUGCAGCCAUGCCGCGUGUAUGAAGAAGGCCUUCGGGUUGUAAAGUACUUUCAGCGGGGAGGAAGGUGUUGUGGUUAAUAACCACAGCAAUUGACGUUACCCGCAGAAGAAGCACCGGCUAACUCCGUGCCAGCAGCCGCGGUAAUACGGAGGGUGCAAGCGUUAAUCGGAAUUACUGGGCGUAAAGCGCACGCAGGCGGUCUGUCAAGUCGGAUGUGAAAUCCCCGGGCUCAACCUGGGAACUGCAUUCGAAACUGGCAGGCUUGAGUCUUGUAGAGGGGGGUAGAAUUCCAGGUGUAGCGGUGAAAUGCGUAGAGAUCUGGAGGAAUACCGGUGGCGAAGGCGGCCCCCUGGACAAAGACUGACGCUCAGGUGCGAAAGCGUGGGGAGCAAACAGGAUUAGAUACCCUGGUAGUCCACGCCGUAAACGAUGUCUACUUGGAGGUUGUGCCCUUGAGGCGUGGCUUCCGGAGCUAACGCGUUAAGUAGACCGCCUGGGGAGUACGGCCGCAAGGUUAAAACUCAAAUGAAUUGACGGGGGCCCGCACAAGCGGUGGAGCAUGUGGUUUAAUUCGAUGCAACGCGAAGAACCUUACCUGGUCUUGACAUCCACAGAACUUUCCAGAGAUGGAUUGGUGCCUUCGGGAAC
rnacentral:rRNA from 1 species